AUACUUACCUGGCAAUGGAGACAUCUUGAUCAUGAAGGAGGUUUUCCCAGGGUGAGGCUCAGCCAUUGCACUCCGGCUGUGCUGAUCCCUGUGAUUUCCCCAAAUGCGGGAAACUUGACUGCAUAAUUUGUGACAGUGGGGGACUGCGUGCGUGCUUUCCCCUA
rnacentral:snRNA from 1 species